UGUCUGCUUCUCAGGGACCUGUACCCACCAC
rnacentral:piRNA from 1 species